rnacentral:lncRNA from 1 species
GACAAAGGUCUAUAACCAAUCUCCACUUUGGGAAAGCAUACUUCGAAGGAGGUAGGCGAUUACGAGGUGUGUGGAUUGUAAGACAGGAGGCGAGGUCGUCUGGAAGAGAGCGGGAAACAGAAUCACAUCGGUGGCGAUUUAUGAUCUGAUUGCGCUGCCAUGCAUACAAGAGCGAUUCACUUAAUUUGCCGGGGGUGUUUGGACUUAUAGGUACGGUGCUCACAAAUAUUUUUUAUCUUAUGGAAAUUAAGGUGGAACAAGUUGCACACUUUCAACCACCUAAGAAGUUGGGAGUUCACGAUAAAUGUGUUCUUUGUGAUCAGGAAGAUGAGAAUCCCGAUCACCUCUUCCUAAAGUCUACUGAUUCGAAGGAGUUGUGGUCUUGUUUCACGGAGGCCGGAGCUAAUGGAUUGUAGAAUAUAUAAAUAGUACAGGGGGGUAUGAUAUAAAUAUUACAUUAGUUAUAUCAUACAUAUUAUUAUAUUAUAAACAAAUCAAUUACACAUUCAACGACACGAUAUUAACGACACGAAUUUUGAAGAAAACGCACGAUAUUAACGACAAUAUGAAUAUAUCAUCGUUAAUUUUUUUUUUUUUUAUAAGCAACGACGAUAUUUUGAUAAUCGUCCCUAGAUCUAACAAUUGACGAC